rnacentral:rRNA from 1 species
UGGGGAAUAUUGGACAAUGGGGGAAACCCUGAUCAAGCCAUCCCGCGUGUGCGAUGAAGGCCUUCGGGUUGUAAAGCACUUUUGGCAGGAAAGAAACGUCAUGGGUUAAUACCCCGUGAAACUGACGGUACCUGCAGAAUAAGCACCGGCUAACUACGUGCCAGCAGCCGCGGUAAUACGUAGGGUGCAAGCGUUAAUCGGAAUUACUGGGCGUAAAGCGUGCGCAGGCGGUUCGGAAAGAAAGAUGUGAAAUCCCAGAGCUCAACUUUGGAACUGCAUUUUUAACUACCGGGCUAGAGUGUGUCAGAGGGAGGUGGAAUUCCGCGUGUAGCAGUGAAAUGCGUAGAUAUGCGGAGGAACACCGAUGGCGAAGGCAGCCUCCUGGGAUAACACUGACGCUCAUGCACGAAAGCGUGGGGAGCAAACAGG